GUUUUUCUCUGGUGUUUAGUGAAAUAGUCACCAGGCUGUGGCGAUCCUAUAUGACACUGGAGAUGAUAUUUUGAUGACGGUGAUCAGAGAAGCAGCCUAUGUUGAGUUACUUGUUCCCCCAGCCCUACUUUUACAUCAUACUUUUAAAUUUAUUUUUAACGGAUACACAAAAUUAUAUAAAUAUGUUGCCAUGGUGAUAUUUGGAUACAUGUAUACAUUUCUUUAUAAUGGAAACUUCCAAUCCUUUCUCGUAGCUUUUUGAAAUGAAUAAUAUAUUCUUAUCUGUAAUAAUCCUAUUGUGGUCACAAACAUUUGAAACUUCCAGUGCUCAGGAAGUCUGCUUUUCUGUGGGGUCAAAUGCCCCCACUCACCUGAAAACAAAGUUGCUAAACCUAAUUUUGAAAACAAACUGGAAAGGAAGUGAACUUGAGGCUAUGCAAGUUGAAAGCGUGUAUUCCUCAUAUCCUGAUCCCCAAACUCUCUUAUUUGAAAGUGAAAAAAAGCAUUCCAGAGGUGAGCCAAUACAACAUGGUUAACAUUAGAUGCUAAUAAAGAGAAAAGGCAAGAAAGAGAAAGGAAAUCUGGGAAAGAAGAUUCUUUAAGUGGAACAGGGAUCAUGGUCCAUGGGAGUACAUGGAUGGAUCCCAGGUAGACCACAAAAUCAUCGAAUGUCUGUUUACAGAGUCCUGAGUUUCCCUCCAAAGAUUCUUGAGAUCCAGGACUUGGACCAACAAUACUUGUUAUAACAAGCAUCCUGUGUCCCAGGGGAUUUUGAGGGACCUGAGGAAGGGACUACAUGGUUCCUGCCUCAACUUCAGCCUUCUUUGCUAUUCUUUACUAUUCCCAUAUCAGUAAG
rnacentral:lncRNA from 1 species